rnacentral:rRNA from 1 species
AUUGAACGCUGGCGGCAGGCCUAACACAUGCAAGUCGAGCGGUUGACGGGAGCUUGCUCCCUGAUUCAGCGGCGGACGGGUGAGUAAUGCCUAGGAAUCUGCCUAUUAGUGGGGGACAACGUUUCGAAAGGAACGCUAAUACCGCAUACGUCCUACGGGAGAAAGCAGGGGACCUUCGGGCCUUGCGCUAAUAGAUGAGCCUAGGUCGGAUUAGCUAGUUGGUGAGGUAAUGGCUCACCAAGGCGACGAUCCGUAACUGGUCUGAGAGGAUGAUCAGUCACACUGGAACUGAGACACGGUCCAGACUCCUACGGGAGGCAGCAGUGGGGAAUAUUGGACAAUGGGCGAAAGCCUGAUCCAGCCAUGCCGCGUGUGUGAAGAAGGUCUUCGGAUUGUAAAGCACUUUAAGUUGGGAGGAAGGGUUGUAGAUUAAUACUCUGCAAUUUUGGCGUUACCGACAGAAUAAGCACCGGCUAACUACGUGCCAGCAGCCGCGGUAACAC